rnacentral:rRNA from 1 species
CUACGGGAGGCAGCAGUGGGGAAUAUUGCGCAAUGGGCGAAAGCCUGACGCAGCAACGCCGCGUGCGGGAUGACGGCCUUCGGGUUGUAAACCGCUUUCAGCAGGGAAGAAGCCGCAAGGUGACGGUACCUGCAGAAGAAGCACCGGCUAACUACGUGCCAGCAGCCGCGGUAAUACGUAGGGUGCAAGCGUUGUCCGGAUUUAUUGGGCGUAAAGAGCUCGUAGGCGGUAUGUCACGUCGGAUGUGAAAAUCCAAGGCUCAACCUUGGACCUGCAUCCGAUACGGGCACACUAGAGUGUGGUAGGGGAGACUGGAACUCCUGGUGUAGCGGUGAAAUGCGCAGAUAUCAGGAAGAACACCAAUGGCGAAGGCAGGUCUCUGGGCCAUUACUGACGCUGAGGAGCGAAAGCGUGGGGAGCAAACAGGAUUAGAUACCCUGGUAGUCCACGCCGUAAACGGUGGGCGCUAGGUGUGGGGACCAUUCCACGGUUUCCGCGCCGCAGCUAACGCAUUAAGCGCCCCGCCUGGGGAGUACGGCCGCAAGGCUAAAACUCAAAG